rnacentral:lncRNA from 10 species
UGGAAAAUAUACAGUUGCUCAUUUAAUAGUCUUUCAACUUUUUUCAAAGUUUGGGCAGUUAUAGAAACAAUUUCUUCUAUUUACAAGUUUUUUCCUAGCACAAACCUAUUUAGAUUAAAUCCCCUCGCCAGCCUCUCAGCUAACAUGUUAAAAUUUCCUUCCAGAACUUCAUUAAUCAGCCAGGCUAUAAAAAAGUAACUGUCCAAGGCCCAAGCAUGUCCUUUCAAAAUCUUUUUAGAAUCCACAAAAUAAAUUUUAAAACUUAGUUAUUCUAGCAAGAACACUAGAGAUGUCACUGACUACACUCACUCUGGUUUACUUACUUAUUCCCUCCUGCCUACAAAUCUUGACUGCCUUGCAAACCUAAAUUCUCUAUCAAGUCACAUUAAAUUCCCUCCAUGGCUUCCUAUCCAAAUUUUUUAAAAGGGGAGGAAGGGGUUUCUGUGCCCUGCCUGCCCUCCUCUUCCAGCCGUACCAUAUAACCCACCUAUCGCCAGCUCACAGGUGAGAACACAAUGCUUGAAGACCAGCAUCCCAAGUGGAGCACCAAGCCACCUCCAGCACUCCUGCCCGAGCUGCCAACAUGGCUCCCAACUGUCACAAGAUGCUCUGAGGAUCAGUGCGGGGUCAUCUUACACAUUUUCACAGCUUACUCUCCCCAGGACUUAUGCGGAGCUUUACCCCAAGGUAGACAUUUAAGUAUUUGCUAAGUUGUAUUUCUAGUUACUUCCUAGACAACUGCUGCCUAAAAUCAAAUGCUUUAUAUAUCAUGCUUUAAUUUUAUUAAACAUGUAAGUCCUGCUUAAACAAUGGUCUCAGUGGUUCUCACCCUAGGGAGAUUUUGCUCUCCAAGGGACAUGAGACAAUGUCUGGAGGCAUUUUUGGUUAUUACACUGGGAUGGGGGUGUGCUGCUGGCAUCUCAAUAGGUAGAGGUCAGGAACACUGCUCAAGAUUCUGCAAGGCACAGGACAGCACCCCCACAAUAAUGAAUUAUUUGAUUCAAGAUGUCAAUAAUGCCAAGGUUGAGAAACCCUAGGGUAGCUGUAGUGUUUUCUUUUAACCUUAGGGGAUUUGAGAGCCACUGGAAACCAAAGAGCCAAACUGAACCUAUGUGGCUGCAACUUUUUUAGUUUCUUAUUAAAGAAAAAGUUCUCUGGUUUUUCAACACUAAGUUCCCUUAUUUCGAAAACAACCGAAAGAGCUCAAUUUUGCAAAAAUGGCACAACCACAACAGAGUGCAGUGUGAUAACAAUACAGAGUCAACUAAGAUUAAAAAUUGGUCUACUAAGACUUUAGAUAUAAUACGUUUUAUUCAUCUAGUGGUACUUGGUGCUCACAGGGCACUGUACAACAAAUUUUAAAAAUACAAUAUGAAAAAAAUCAAACAGCCAGAGAUCAAUUCCAUUAGAGGGCGAUGGCCCACAGAAAAACCAACAAAGGCCCACAGAAAAACCCACCCUGUCUCCUUAAGAACAUUUCUUUGUUUGGCUUUAAGAAACACCAAAAGAAAAUACAAAAGAAAAGGUCUUUGAGAAGAUAGGUAAAACUUCACAUAGCGUCUUCCACAUAUCACAAAAUGCUUUCCUUAUUUAAUAAUAAGCACAUAAAAUAAUCCAAAUAUCUGUGAGCCUCUAUUUGGUCCCAAUGUUUUAGGUCAUAGCUUUCACUACUUCCCUCCUCUCUAUCCUCAAAUUAUUUGCAUCAGUAAAAAAAGUUAAUUAAGGUGUAACAGUCUCCUUUGCUCCACAAUGCCACUACAAAGCCUAUUUUCCAUAAAGAACCAGAGGCCAAGCAAACGUAGGCUACUAAUGUAGUACUGCCUUAAUGCUUGGUUCCUCUACCAUUAAAUGGCAUUUCAUUCAGUUUAUGCUGAACUCUUAGAUCAACUUAUUAUUACUGAAUACAAAGCUAAGCAAACCUAGACAUUUUAGCUGCUGCCACUGUGUAUUAUCACAGUACAUAAGGAAUCUGUCACAAGGUUUGUCUCCCCUUCUCCAUUAUACUGUUCUUAAAGGUAGAGGGCAGGUCUCAUGCACCUUUGCAUCCCCUGCAUAUAAGCACAGUGGCUGGCAUACAGUGGGUGAAUAGGUAUUUACUGAUGCAUUGCUGAGUAGUGGCUUAUAACAUGGAGAAAAGCCCAACAUUGUCCUGUUCUAUCAGCAUUACUUAGGUAUCCUCACUCCUAAUAGGCAGAAAGCAGUUUUGAAGUAAAGUUAAAUUCCUCACUUGCUAAACACAGCAGACCUGUCAAGUGUUGGACAAGACUUAAACCACUUUCUUUAAAUGUGUUCAUAAAGCAUUUUGAGAAAUCAAGAGAUGAAAGGCGCUAUGUAAGUACAAAAUAUUCAAGACAGUUUAGCAAAAGUGCUACUUUUCUACGAUGAUGGAAUGGUUGUGCUAGUUUGAGGGGAACAUCCCCUGAGGCUACUCUUCUUGCUGUCAUUAUUAACACAACAAUGGAAUUUUGACAAAGAUGCCAUCACUUUAUAUAGUUUUUAUUCAGCUAACUACUUUCUAUAAACCAUGUGACAGAAAAUGAAAUUAAGCCACUUAUUCCACAUAAACCAAUACUUUAUCAAAGUUCCGCAUUUUACAAGUCAUGUUCAAAAAACACACACAAAUUAGCAUUUUGUACACAAAUGUUUAUUUCUCAAUUAAACAUUCCCUUUAAACACAAGGAAUGAGUUCUAAAUCUUCAUAAAGAUGAAUUAAAAAUGAAAUCC